CCGAAGUUCUCUCCACUGAGCAUCUGCCCCUUCAUCCUGCAGGAGCAGGCGCAGUGAUUCAUACCCACUCUAAAGCUGCUGUGAUGGCUACCCUUCUGUUUCCAGGACAGGAGUUUAAAAUUACACAUCAAGAGAUGAUCAAAGGAAUAAGGAAAUGUACCUCUGGAGGGUAUUACAGGUAUACUUUCUUAUUAAAUUAUUUGGCAUGUGUUUCUCCUUCUCUUUGAUAAGUCAGACCAUGAUCCUCUUAUGCUUCUAAUGAGGUGCAGUGGGAUCUGUGUUCAGUAAUACCCCACUGAGCACUUUAUGUCCACACGCAUUUUCAGUGACAGACUCCUCCUCCCUUCCCCACCCUUGGAGAAUUAUUAGCAACAUGAAUUGUGGAGCGUUUGCUCUAUUAAUGUGAACAAAAGUCUGGUCUGAAAUGUCUGUCAAAACGGGUGGGGCAGCCUGUUUCAGCUCCGAAAAAGAAAGCAAGAUCUCCUCACCUCCACUUUAUCUUCAGGAAGCUUGAACUGGGACCACCAUUAGAGUUCAUAUUGACUUAAUGUAGUUCUGGAAUAUGCUCCUAGUCAUU
rnacentral:lncRNA from 1 species